AGAACUGCACAAUCCAAUUGCAAAACGUUCCCUCCAAUAAAAUUAUGCCAUAUAGAUAUUUCUUACAUGUCAGCCCUAUCACUCCAUACACCCAACAUGAAACAUGCUCGUCUUUCUGAUUUCUCUUCAUAGCAAAAAUGGAGUUCAAACGGAAAUGCUAACAUCUUUUUACUUAGGAUUUACUGGAAGAAAACCGGAAAAAAAAAGAAAGGGCAAUGUUCUUCUUUAUUUGGAUCAAGCCUACUGUCGUUCUUAAAGCUUAAAAUGUUUCUUCAAAAUUUUACUUGUUUCGAGCAGUUUUCUCCUCAACCCUUAUGUCUGGAGCAGGUGGAGAGAGGUGACUUUUGACUUUUGAGUACGGAGGACAAGGUGAGGUGCGGUGGUUGAAGGAUAUACGGCGGUGGAUGGGGGUGGUUAGAUUGGCAAACGUUACUUCCCUUUGUUCAUAUGAAAAAAUAAAACGUGACAUCAGAUGGUUCCAUGGUCUAGUGGUCAGGACAUUGGACUCUGAAUCCAGUAACCCGAGUUCAAAUCUCGGUGGAACCUCUAUCUCCUUUUUUUUUUCUUUUUUUUUUUUAAAUUGUCAAUUCUAAUUGUUAUUAAUG